rnacentral:rRNA from 1 species
GAUGAACGCUGGCGGCGUGCCUAAUACAUGCAAGUCGAGCGAACGGACGAGAAUCUUGCUUCUCUGAUGUUAGCGGCGGACGGGUGAGUAACACGUGGAUAACCUACCUAUAAGACUGGGAUAACUUCGGGAAACCGGAGCUAAUACCGGAUAAUAUUUUGAACCUCAUGGUUCAAAAGUGAAAGACGGUCUUGCUGUCACUUAUAGAUGGAUCCGCGCUGCAUUAGCUAGUUGGUAAGGUAACGGCUUACCAAGGCAACGAUGCAUAGCCGACCUGAGAGGGUGAUCGGCCACACUGGAACUGAGACACGGUCCAGACUCCUACGGGAGGCAGCAGUAGGGAAUCUUCCGCAAUGGGCGAAAGCCUGACGGAGCAACGCCGCGUGAGUGAUGAAGGUCUUCGGAUCGUAAAACUCUGUUAUUAGGGAAGAACAUAUGUGUAAGUAACUGUGCACAUCUUGACGGUACCUAAUCAGAAAGCCACGGCUAACUACGUG